rnacentral:rRNA from 1 species
UACGGAGGGGCUAGCGUUGUUCGGAAUUACUGGGCGUAAAGCGCACGUAGGCGGCUUUGCAAGUUAGAGGUGAAAGGCCCGGGGCUCAACUCCGGAAUUGCCUUUAAAACUGCAUCGCUAGAAUUGUGGAGAGGUAAGUGGAAUUCCGAGUGUAGAGGUGAAAUUCGUAGAUAUUCGGAAGAACACCAGUGGCGAAGGCGACUUACUGGACACAUAUUGACGCUGAGGUGCGAAAGCGUGGGGAGCAAACAGGG